rnacentral:rRNA from 1 species
UGGGGAAUAUUGGACAAUGGGCGCAAGCCUGAUCCAGCCAUGCCGCGUGUGUGAAGAAGGCCUUCGGGUUGUAGAGCACUUUUGUCCGGAAAGAAAUCCUGUCGGCUAAUACCCGGCGGGGAUGACGGUACCGGAAGAAUAAGCACCGGCUAACUUCGUGCCAGCAGCCGCGGUAAUACGAAGGGUGCAAGCGUUACUCGGAAUUACUGGGCGUAAAGCGUGCGUAGGUGGUUUGUUAAGUCUGAUGUGAAAGCCCUGGGCUCAACCUGGGAACUGCAUUGGAUACUGGCUUACUAGAGUGCGGUAGAGGGUGGCGGAAUUCCCCGGUGUAGCAGUGAAAUGCGUAGAUAUCGGGAGGAACAUCCGUGGCGAAGGCGGCCACCUGGACCAGCACUGACACUGAGGCACGAAAAGCGUGGGGGAGCAAAACAGGAUUAGAUACCCUGGUAUCCACGCCCUAAACGAUGCGACUGGAUGUUGGGAGCAACUAGGCUCUCAGUAUCGAAGCUAACGCGUUAAGUUCGCCGCCUGGAAGUACGGUCGCAAGACUGAAACUCAAAUGAAUUGACGGGGUCAUAGCUGUUUCC